rnacentral:lncRNA from 1 species
CCUGCAGCCCACUGGCUCCUCAGGAUCCCGAUGGGCGUGUCAGGAUAACCCAAGGCGCAGUCUCCCUGAGCACAAUUUAUUUGCUGAAAGGCCACAUCUCACUAUGGAGUGAGGAUCAAGAAGUAAAGGUCUGAAAGAGAGAAGCUGCGGGGCUGGGGAGACUGUUGGUCGGAGAGGCGUCGGGGGCCCAAGGAAAAGGGAGGAUUGUGGGGAGGAAUCGGCGUAGAGAUGAGAGGAGCAGCAGAGACAGAGUCUCACGCAGAGGUGUGCCCAGACACCCUGAACCAAGUUACUUAACCUCGUCCACCACCGUGGCACCCGUGGGGUCCGUGGGCCCGUCGGUCUUCCAGGAGGGAUUCUGUGUCCCUGUUAUUGUGUGUCAACAUGUGUUAGCCUGAUAUUUAUAUUUUUAAUGAGAGAAAACGAACUCUGGAAUUUGCGAACUGUUUUUUCGUUUUGCUUUAUACCUCUUGGACACUCCUUCCGAAGGAUUGGGUCUCAAGGGCAGUGGGGUGUGACUACGGUAGACAGGGCUGAUUAAUUUUCAUCCAAAACUCUUUGGCGGAUUCCCCUGCUCUCCGCUUCUCCGGUCUAACAGUAGUUUAAAAUAGAAGAUCAGCAACAUUUGGAGAGUUUUUUUCUUUGCAUUUUAAUGAUAAACUUGAUUUAUUCCAUUCCAAAAGUUUUCUUAUUCUGAGGUUGUCUUUCUAUAUUUUGAGUAUAAAACAAUGGCCAUACUAUGUUGGAACCACCAAGGUUCUUCUCUUCACUUGUUCAUUUGUAAUGUCUCUUUAUAAUCUGAGAAUUUCCUGAGCAAACUGGGAACUGUUAUACAUAAUUCCUUGUUUUUCAACAUUCUUUGUAAACAGGAAUCAGGAUUGGGGAUGGGGAGGGAGGGAGGAGUAGGAGUCCUGAUUUGUGGAACAGAAAAUCAUGGAUUACUUAUGUGAUGGAGCAAAGGGUUUAAAAACUCUUAGCAUCCCCAGAUUUCCCCUUUUACUGUUUGCUGAAGAAAAUUCUGUCUUUGACUCCCUUCCUUACCCUCUCCGGGCCUGUGAGAAGCUUCCUCCCUAUCCAGUUUAUUUCCUCCUCUGCUCCCCGACCCACC